GCCUUUCCCCUGUGUAAAUAUCAGAUGCCGGUGGGGAACGUGGGAUCCUGUGGGGUUUUGCAAUUAGGGUCAACAGCGUUGGACCUUUAGGAUCAACAUGGAGGUGUAGAACUGUAGGGCUGAUUCCUGCGUGUUUGAUUCUGUCUGUGUAUGUAGGUGUGGGUGUUGUCAAUGGAAAUGCGCUGACACGGCUUGCUGAAGCUGAGAGGGACAUUCAGAUGUUUCGGAGAAGGAUCUUUAACGGGACCUCUGGUACUUCCUGGAAUGGGUGGAGCUGUCAGUGAUGGUGGGCCAGAGAUGUUGGUUUCAGAAGGGAACAUCAGGGUUUCAGGGUUCAGUUCUCUCCUACAGUGGUUUCAAACACCUGUUUUAUUUUUUAAAAAGGAUGCAAGUUCUCCCAUUCAGUUCUUCUCUAAAAAAUGGGUUGAGUGUCAUCAGUACAAAGGCCUCCAUUAAUGUGGGUUUUGAGCAUAGAAGUCUGACUAGAAUGCAGUUGAAUGCCUAUGAAGCAAAAUGGUAAAAACUCACAUUGAAAUGCAACAUUAAAAAAAAUUUAAA